rnacentral:rRNA from 1 species
AUUGAACGCUGGCGGCAUGCCUAACACAUGCAAGUCGAACGGCAGCACAGUAAAGAUUUCGGUCUUUAUGGGUGGCGAGUGGCGGACGGGUGAGUAAUGCGUAGGAAUCUGUCCUGGAGAGUGGGAUAACCCGAGGAAACUCGGGCUAAUACUGCAUGAUAUCGAGAGAUCAAAGGCAGGGGACCCUUCGGGGCCUUGCGCUCUAGGAUGAGCCUACGUCGGAUUAGCUAGUUGGUGGGGUAAAGGCCUACCAAGGCGACGAUCCGUAGCUGGUCUGAGAGGAUGACCAGCCACACUGGGACUGAGACACGGCCAAGACUCCUACGGGAGGCAGCAGGGGGGAAUCUUGGACAAUGGGGGAAACCCUGAUCCAGCGAUGCCGCGUGUGUGAAGAAGGCCUUCGGGUUGUAAAGCACUUUAGUUGGGGAAGAAAAGUAAUGAGUGAAUAACUGAUUGCUCUGACGGUACCCAAAGAAUAAGCACCGGCUAACUCUGUGCCAGCAGCCGCCGUAA